AACGUCGCUGCCGUUCGCGUUUUUAUUGUACCUCAAGACACGAACUGACGUAGAACUGCCGAAUAUCGAAUAUACCAAAACAUGAUCGUAGGGAUGAUAAUCCACGCAGAUAUUUAAUACGGAUUCCUCGCUACCGCAUAUAACAAAUCCACCGCAGGGAGAUAUACAGGCUUUUAACUGUAUUCUAUAAAGAAUAAAGAAAAAUUUGAUAAAUUACAAAUUUUAAUAAAAAAUUAACCAGUGCAAGACAACAGCAGAAUAGAACGAAAAAGGGAUAAUGAUAUGAAACAAAUAUAAAGUAUUAUUAGUGAAAGAGAUUUGGAGAAUUGUUGAGACAAGAUUACAAUGAUGAAUAGAAUAAAACAAGCAGCUAAAAAUAACCAUGGGAAAAAGUGUCAGUGAACAAUAUUCAAUUAACUUAAAUUGAAAUAGAAACAUCAAGGCAUAUGAUAGAGAAAAAACAAACACGAAUAAAAAGAGAAAAUAGAAUAAGGAAAUAAAUAUUUAAAAAAUGC